rnacentral:rRNA from 1 species
GUAGUCGUCACAGGUAGCCUGUCAACAAUGCAUUCGUGCCGGAGUGGUAAGCGCGAUGACAUUGCUCCUGGAUUCAGCGGCGGACGGGUGAGUAAUGCCUAGGAAUCUGCCUGGUAGUGGGGGAUAACGUCCGGAAACGGGCGCUAAUACCGCAUACGUCCUGAGGGAGAAAGUGGGGGAUCUUCGGACCUCACGCUAUCAGAUGAGCCUAGGUCGGAUUAGCUAGUUGGUGGGGUAAAGGCCUACCAAGGCGACGAUCCGUAACUGGUCUGAGAGGAUGAUCAGUCACACUGGAACUGAGACACGGUCCAGACUCCUACGGGAGGCAGCAGUGGGGAAUAUUGGACAAUGGGCGAAAGCCUGAUCCAGCCAUGCCGCGUGUGUGAAGAAGGUCUUCGGAUUGUAAAGCACUUUAAGUUGGGAGGAAGGGCAGUAAGUUAAUACCUUGCUGUUUUGACGUUACCAACAGAAUAAGCACCGGCUAACUUCGUGCCAGCAGCCGCGGUAAUACGAAGGGUGCAAGCGUUAAUCGGAAUUACUGGGCGUAAAGCGCGCGUAGGUGGUUCAGCAAGUUGGAUGUGAAAUCCCCGGGCUCAACCUGGGAACUGCAUCCAAAACUACUGAGCUAGAGUACGGUAGAGGGUGGUGGAAUUUCCUGUGUAGCGGUGAAAUGCGUAGAUAUAGGAAGGAACACCAGUGGCGAGGCGACCACCUGGGACUGAUACUGACACUGAGGUGCGAAAGCGUGGGGAGCAAACAA